CAUAAAUCCCGGGGGAGCUGGAAUUUGGCCGGCUGAGAGUGUAUCCGAUGAUACUGACCCUUACACCUGAUCUGGGUAAUGCCAGCGUAGGAAGUCCAUGUUUGCGGCAG
rfam:Paenibacillus sp. Y412MC10, complete genome.